rnacentral:lncRNA from 10 species
UCUCUAUAAUCAUUUAAUUUUUCUUUUUGGAAAAUGUAUGUAUACAUACACACAGUUUCCAUAAAAAAACAUAGAUAGUAAAGCUGAUUAAAAUCUUCCUGUCCUAUUGGUACCAGCACAUGAAGCCCUUCUACAAAAUUCCUGACGGACUGGGAAUAAAAAUUCCUAGUGACAGCCCACUCCUUCUCAGGCAGGUGUGAUUGUUUGAAAUCUCUCCCAAUAUUGAGAUGAAACCUGCUUCCCUGUAACUUCCCUGUAAUUCUGUGGGUCCCUUGUAGCCACAGAGAAGGCAGCAAUCAGUAGGGGAAGUGCUAUAAAAAUAUACUAUCCCGGCCAAGCGUGGGCCUGGGUCCCAAUCCCACACCCUCUCUUGACACCUAGCCCUAGCUCCACUCU